CCUACGGGAGUCAGCAGUGAGGAAUUUUGCGCAAUGGCCGCAAGGCUGACGCAGCAACGCCGCGUGGGUGAAGAAGGCCUUCGGGUCGUAAAGCCCUGUCAGGUGGGAAGAAACCCACAGGGAGCAAUAUGUUCUGUGGUUGACGGUACCACCAGAGGAAGCACCGGCUAACUCCGUGCCAGCAGCCGCGGUAAUACGGAGGGUGCGAGCGUUAUUCGGAAUUACUGGGCGUAAAGCGCGUGCAGGCGGCCGUACAAGUCUGAUGUGAAAGCCCCGGGCUUAACCUGGGAAGUGCAUUGGAAACGGUAUGGCUUGAGUACUGGAGAGGAAGGGGGAAUUCCCGGUGUAGAGGUGAAAUUCGUAGAGAUCGGGAGGAAUACCAGUGGCGAAGGCGCCCUUCUGGACGGUUACUGACGCUGAGACGCGAAAGCGUGGGGAGCAAACA
rnacentral:rRNA from 1 species